CCAGACUCCUACGGGAGGCAGCAGUGGGGGAUAUUGCACAAUGGGGGGAACCCUGAUGCAGCGACGCCGCGUGGGUGAAGGAGUAUUUCGGUAUGUAAAGCCCUAUCGGCAGGGAAGAAGCAAGACGGUACCUGAGUAAGAAGCCCCGGCUAACUACGUGCCAGCAGCCGCGGCAAUACGUAGGGGGCAAGCGUUAUCCGGAUUUACUGGGUGUAAAGGGAGCGUAGACGGCCAGACAAGUCUGAAGUGAAAAUCCAGCGCUUAACGUUGGAAGUGCUUUGGAAACUGCCGGGCUGGAGUGCAGGAGGGGCAGGCGGAAUUCCUAGUGUAGCGGUGAAAUGCGUAGAUAUUAGGAGGAACACCAGUGGCGAAGGCGGCCUGCUGGACUGCAACUGACGUUGAGGCUCGAAGGCGUGGGGAGCAAACAGGAUUAGAUACCCCAGUAC
rnacentral:rRNA from 1 species